GAUGAAGAACGUAGCGAAAUGCGAUAAGUAAUGUGAAUUGCAGAAUUCAGUGAAUCAUCGAAUCUUUGAACGCACAUUGCGCCCGUCAGUAUUCUGGCGGGCAUGCCUGUUCGAGCGUCAUUUCAACCCUCGGUCUCCCUCCGGGAGAGACCGGCGUUGGGGACCGGCACUUACCCCGCCGGCCCCGAAAUGAAGUGGCGGCCCGUCCGCGGCGACCUCUGCGUAGUAACUCCACUCGCACCGGGACCCGGGCGCGGCCACGCCGUAAAACCCCCAACUUCCGAAUGUUGACCUCGAAUCAGGUAGGAAUACCCGCUGAACUUAAGCAUAUCAAUAAGCGGAGGA
rnacentral:misc_RNA from 1 species